rnacentral:rRNA from 1 species
ACUCCUACGGGAGGCAGCAGUAGGGAAUCUUCCACAAUGGGCGCAAGCCUGAUGGAGCAACACCGCGUGAGUGAAGAAGGGUUUCGGCUCGUAAAGCUCUGUUGUUAAAGAAGAACACGUAUGAGAGUAACUGUUCAUACGUUGACGGUUAUUUAACCAGAAAGUCACGGCUAACUACGUGCCAGCAGCCGCGGUAAUACGUAGGUGGCAAGCGUUAUCCGGAUUUAUUGGGCGUAAAGAGAGUGCAGGUCGGUUUUCUAAGUCUGAUGUGAAAGCCUUCGGCUUAACCGGAGAAGUGCAUCGGAAACUGGAUAACUUGAGUGCAGAAGAGGUAGUGGAACUCCAUGUGUAGCGGUGGAAUGCG